AUACUUGCAAAAAAGAAAAUAAAGUCAGUGACAAAAGAAGUCACCAUGCUCUCCUCAUUCAUGAUUUGAGCAUGAUGAUGAAGCUUCUUUGGUCCUCGUAAAUCCAUAGCACCUCCCCUUCCUUUGUUGUUCAUCUUCUUUCCCCUUUGACUCUCAGAUAUGGACAUUGCAUCUUAUCAUUGUUCACUAUCCUUCUCCCUUUUGAUUCAAGGUCCCAGAAACCAAAGCAUUCUAUGUCUCUAGAAUCUAAUGCAUAAUUUUCUAAAUAAUCAGCCAGUUUAUUUCCUUCCCUAAGUAUAUGUGACAUCCUGAUGUUGAGUCCUUCCAUUAACUGCUCAAUCUCCUCAAUAUACUCAAUAAUUCGCCGAGUUGGUUUCCAUGUCUUUUCUAUAGUAUUCUUCAUCACCAUUGAAUCAAUCUGCAACGAUAACGGCAUAUAAUUGUUCAUUCUGGAAAAU
rnacentral:lncRNA from 1 species